GUGAACGCUGGCGGUAGGCCUAACACAUGCAAGUCGAACGGCAGCACCGUAAGAGCUUGCUCUUACGGGUGGCGAGUGGCGGACGGGUGAGGAAUACAUCGGAAUCUACUUUUUCGUGGGGGAUAACGUAGGGAAACUUACGCUAAUACCGCAUACGACCUACGGGUGAAAGCAGGGGAUCUUCGGACCUUGCGCGAUUGAAUGAGCCGAUGUCGGAUUAGCUAGUUGGCGGGGUAAAGGCCCACCAAGGCGACGAUCCGUAGCUGGUCUGAGAGGAUGAUCAGCCACACUGGAACUGAGACACGGUCCAGACUACUACGGGAGGCAGCAGUGGGGAAUAUUGGACAAUGGGCGCAAGCCUGAUCCAGCCAUACCGCGUGGGUGAAGAAGGCCUUCGGGUUGUAAAGCCCUUUUGUUGGGAAAGAAAAGCAGCAGGUUAAUACCCCGCUGUUCUGACGGUACCCAAAGAAUAAGCACCGGCUAACUUCGUG
rnacentral:rRNA from 1 species